rnacentral:misc_RNA from 1 species
GUAGGUGAACCUGCGGAAGGAUCAUUACUGAGUUCAUGCCCUAACGGGUAGAUCUCCCACCCUUGAAUAUAUAAACCUUUGUUGCUUUGGCGGGCCGCUUCGGCUACCGGCUUCGGCUGGUGAGUGCCCGCCAGAGGACCCCUAAACUCUGAAUGUUAGUGUCGUCUGAGUACUAUUAAAUAGUUAAAACUUUCAACAACGGAUCUCUUGGUUCUG